rnacentral:rRNA from 1 species
UAUGUGAUCGUCUCUCGCAUAUCAAUAAGCGGAGGAAAAGAAACUAACAAGGAUUCCCCUAGUAACGGCGAGUGAAGCGGGAAGAGCUCAAAUUUGAAAUCUUAAAGGGUUUCCCUUUACGAAUUGUAGUUUAAAGAAGUGUUUUCUGUUGAGGUUUUGGUAAAAGUUCUUUGGAAUAGGACAUCAUAGAGGGUGAGAAUCCCGUAGUUUGACCUUUACUUUCAACUUUGUGAUACACUUUCAAAGAGUCGGAUUGUUUGGGAAUGCAGUCCAAAAUGGGUGGUAAAUUUCAUCUAAAGCUAAAUAUUGGCGAGAGACCGAUAGCGAACAAGUACCGUGAGGGAAAGAUGAAAAGAACUUUGAAAAGAGAGUUAAACAGUACGUGAAAUUGUCAAAAGGGAAGCGUUUGACACCAGUGUUGUUUUUCUGAAAAUCAAUUAAAGAACUGUUUAUGCUAAGCUGUUUAGACUUUAUCAGCUAUCUGUUUAGUUUUGAGCUUUUCUUUAAUGCACUUUUCAGUUAACAAGUCAACAUCAAUUUCUUUUGCUGUAAAAAAGCUUGAGGAAGGUGGCUUGAGAUUCGUCUUAAGUGUUUAUAGCCUCUUGCCUAUGCAGUCGGAGAGAUUGAGGUCUGCAGCGUAGAUCCUUCGGGGCUAAAUGCAUUUGUGCUAAGUUAUAGCAUUUUAUAGACAACUUGUUGACUAUGAUUUGUCUUGUAGCUUACUCGCUUAUGUUAUUUUACCUACGCUUAGGAUGUUGACACACGCGCGUGCUCG